rnacentral:rRNA from 1 species
UCGGGAAUAUUGCGCAAUGGAGGAAACUCUGACGCAGUGACGCCGCGUGCAGGAAGAAGGUUUUCGGAUUGUAAACUGCUUUAGACAGGGAAGAAAAGGACAGUACCUGUAGAAUAAGCUCCGGCUAACUACGUGCC